GUAGGAAUGUGACAGAAAUGGUAUUUUAUAAAAUUUAUUUCGUUGUCACUCCCCAACUUGCACAUUAUUGUAAGCUGACUUUCCGCCAGCUUCUAUGUUGGGGCCCCGCCAACUUGCACAUUAUUGUAAGCUGACUUUUCGUCAGCUUCUGUGUUGGGGCCCCGCCUAUAAUUGAAAAAUGCUUGUUACAUGGGCAUUUCCAUUCGGUCAACUACUACCAAUAUAAUAUUGUAGAGCCUAAGACAUUGAUUU
rnacentral:ncRNA from 1 species